AUGCAGGUCGAGCGGGGGAAGGUAGCUUGCUACUGGACCUAGCGGCGGACGGGUGAGUAAUGCUUAGGAAUCUGCCUAUUAGUGGGGGACAACAUCUCGAAAGGGAUGCUAAUACCGCAUACGUCCUACGGGAGAAAGCAGGGGAUCUUCGGACCUUGCGCUAAUAGAUGAGCCUAAGUCGGAUUAGCUAGUUGGUGGGGUAAAGGCCUACCAAGGCGACGAUCUGUAGCGGGUCUGAGAGGAUGAUCCGCCACACUGGGACUGAGACACGGCCCAGACUCCUACGGGAGGCAGCAGUGGGGAAUAUUGGACAAUGGGGGGAACCCUGAUCCAGCCAUGCCGCGUGUGUGAAGAAGGCCUUAUGGUUGUAAAGCACUUUAAGCGAGGAGGAGGCUACUUUAGUUAAUACCUAGAGAUAGUGGACGUUACUCGCAGAAUAAGCACCGGCUAACUCUGUGCCAGCAGCCGCGGUAAUACAGAGGGUGCGAGCGUUAAUCGGAUUUACUGGGCGUAAAGCGUGCGUAGGCGGCUUAUUAAGUCGGAUGUGAAAUCCCCGAGCUUAACUUGGGAAUUGCAUUCGAUACUGGUGAGCUAGAGUAUGGGAGAGGA
rnacentral:rRNA from 1 species